rfam:Ictidomys tridecemlineatus contig009402, whole genome shotgun sequence.
GGAGUUGUGGCUCAGUGGUAGAGCACUUGCCUAAUGUGUGUGGGGCACUGGGUUCGAUCCCCAGCACCA